rnacentral:rRNA from 1 species
CGCGGCCUAUCAGCUUGUUGGUGAGGUAACGGCUCACCAAGGCUUCGACGGGUAGCCGGCCUGAGAGGGCGACCGGCCACACUGGGACUGAGAUACGGCCCAGACUCCUACGGGAGGCAGCAGUGGGGAAUAUUGCGCAAUGGGCGAAAGCCUGACGCAGCAACGCCGCGUGCGGGAUGACGGCCUUCGGGUUGUAAACCGCUUUCAGCAGGGACGAAGCAACACGUGACGGUACCUGCAGAAGAAGCACCGGCCAACUACGUGCCAGCAGCCGCGGUGAUACGUAGGGUGCGAGCGUUGUCCGGAAUUAUUGGGCGUAAAGAGCUUGUAGGCGGUCUAUUGCGUCGAAAGUGAAAACUCAGGGCUCAACCCUGAGCCUGCUCUCGAUACGGGUAGACUUGAGGGAUGUAGGGGAGAACGGAAUUCUUGGUGGAGCGGUGGAAUGCGCAGAUAUCAGGAGGAACACCGGUGGCGAAGGCGGUUCUCUGGACAUUUCCUGACGCUGAGAAGCGAAAGCGUGGGUAGCAAACAGGCUUAGAUACCCUGGUAGUCCACGCCGUAAACGGUGGGUAUUAGGUGUGGGGGACAUUCCACGUUCUCCGUGCCGCAGCUAACGCAUUAAGUACCCCGCCUGGGGAGUACGG